ensembl:lncRNA
CUGGCAGGUGACCAGAUGGCCCUGUCCACUGGGGCCUCAGCAAUGCUUCGUCAGCCUGGUUAGAGGACCCGUGUCCAGAUGUGUUAAUCAGUUAGGGAACCCUUGUCCAGGUGUGUUAAUCAGUAAGGAGACUUGUGUCCAGGUGUGUUAAUCAGUUAGGGGACUCAUGUCUAAGUGUGUUAAUCAGUUAGAGGACUCGUGUUCAGGUGUGUUAAUCAGGGGACUCAUGUCUAAGUGUGUUAAUCAGUUAGGGGACUCUUGUCCUCGUGUGUUAAUCAGUUAGGGACCCGUGUCCAGGUGUGUCAAUCAGUUAGGGGACUCAGUCUAAGUGUGUUAAUCAGUUAGAGGACUCGUGUUCAGAUGUGUUAAUCAGUAAGGGGACUCAUGUCCAGGUAUGUUAAUCAGUUAGGGGACUCUUGUCCAGGUGUGUUAAUCAGUAAGGGGACUCAUGUCCAGGUAUGUUAAUCAGUUAGGGGACUCUUGUCCAGGUGCGUUAAUCAGUUAGGGACCCAUGUCCAGGUGUGUUAAUCAGUUAGGGACCUGUGUCCAGGUGUGUUAGUUAGGAGAGUCUUGUCCAGGUGUGUCAAUCAGUUAGGGGACUCUUGUCCAGGUGUGUUAAUCAGCUAGGGGACUUGUAUCCAGGUGUGUCAAUCAGUUAGGGGACUCAUGUCCAGGUGUGUCAAUCAGUUAGGGACCUGUGUCCAGGUGUGUUAAUCAGUUAGGGACCCGUGUCCAGGUGUGUUAAUCAGUUAGGGGACUCAUGUCUAAGUGUGUUAGGGGACCCGUGUCCAGGUGUGUUAAUCAGUUAGGGGACUCAUGUCUAAGUGUGUUAGUUAGGGGACCCAUGUUCAGGUGUGUUAAUCAGUUGGGGACCCAUAUCCAGGUGUGUUAGUCAGUUGGGGACCCAUAUCCAGGUGUGUUAAUCAGUUAGGGGACUCAUGUCUAAGUGUGUUAAUUAGUUAGGGGACUCAUGGUCAGGUGUCUUAAUCAGUUGAGGACCCAUUUCCAGGUGUGUUAAUCAGUUGGGGACCCAUAUCCAGGUGUGUUAAUCACUUGGGGACCCAUAUCCAGGUGUGUUAAUCAGUUAGGGGACUCAUGUCUAAGUGUGUUAAUCAGUUAGGGGACUCAUGUUCAGGUGUGUUAAUCAGUUGGGGACCCAUGUCCAGGUGUGUUAAUCAGUUAGGGGACUCAUGUCUAAGUGUGUUAAUCAGUUAGGGGACUCAUGUCUAAGUGUGUUAAUCAGUUAGGGGACUCAGUCUAAGUGUGUUAGUUAGAGGACUCGUGUUCAGUUGUGUUAAUCAGUUGGGGACCCAUGUCCAGGUGUGUUAAUCAGUUGGGGACCCAUGUCCAGGUGUGUUAAUCAGUUGGGGACCCAUAUCCAGGUGUGUUAAUCAGUUAGGGGACUCACAUCAAAGUGUGUUAAUUAGUUAGGGGACCCAUGUCCAGGUGUGUUAAUCAGUUGGGGACCCAUGUCCAGGUGUGUUAAUCAGUUGGGGACCCAUAUCCAGGUGUGUUAAUCAGUUGGGGACCCAUAUCCAGGUGUGUUAAUCAGUUGGGGGCCCAUGUCCAGGUGUGAUAAUCAGCUGGGGGCCCAUGUCCAGGUGUGUUAAUCAGUUGGGGACCUAUAUCCAGGUGUGUUAAUCAGCUGGGGACCCAUGUCCAGGUGUGUUAAUGAGUUGGGGGCCCAUGUCCAGGUGUGUUAAUCAGCUGGGGACCCAUGUCCAGGUGUGUUAAUCAGUUGGGGACCCAUGUCCAGGUGUGUUAAUCAGUUGGGGACCCAUGUCCAGGUGUGUUAAUCAGUUGGGGACCCAUGUCCAGGUGUGUUAAUCAGCUGGGGACCCAUGUCCAGGUGUGUUAAUCAGUUGGGGACCCAUGUCCAGGUGUGUUAAUCAGCUGGGGACCCAUGUCCAGGUGUGUUAAUCAGCUGGGGACCCAUGUCCAGGUGUGUUAAUCAGUUGGGGACCCAUGUCCAGGUG